rnacentral:rRNA from 1 species
CACGUAGUUGGCCGGUCCUUCUUCUGCACAUACCGUCACUUUCGCUUCGUCUGUGCUGAAAGAGGUUUACAACCCGAAGGCCGUCAUCCCUCACGCGGCGUUGCUGGAUCAGGCUUCCGCCCAUUGUCCAAUAUUCCCCACUGCUGCCUCCCGUAGGAGUCUGGGCCGUGUCUCAGUCCCAGUGUGGCCGGUCACCCUCUCAGGCCGGCUACCCGUCGAAGCCAUGGUAGGCCAUUACCCCACCAUCAAGCUGAUAGGCCGCGAGCACAUCCCCCACCGAAAAAACUUUCCACCACCCCCGAUGCCGAAGGUAGUCAUAUCCGGUAUUAAUCCCGGUUUCCCGGAGCUAUCCCGAAGUGAAGGGCAGAUUACUCACGUGUUACUCACCCGUUCGCCGCUCGAGUACCACCGAAGUGGCCUUUCCGCUCGACUUGCAUGUGUUAAGCACGCCGCCAGCGUUCGUCCUGAGCCAGGAUCAAACUCU